UACGUAGGGUCCGAGCGUUGUCCGGAAUUACUGGGCGUAAAGAGCUCGUAGGUGGUUGUCGCGUGUUCGUGAAACUCACAGCUCAACUGUGGGCGUGCGGGCGAUACGGGCAGACUGGGAGUACUGCAGGGAGACUGGGAAUUCCUGGUGUAGCGGUGGAAUGCGGCAGAUAUCAGGAGGAACACCGGUGGCGAAGGCGGUCUCUGGGCA
rnacentral:rRNA from 1 species